GGUGUGAUGGCCGAGUGGUUAUGGCGACAGACUUAAGUUGUACAAGGGUUCUGUUGACGAAAGUCGCGCGAGUUCGAACCUCGCUCACAUCA